UGGGGAAUAUUGCACAAUGGGCGCAAGCCUGAUGCAGCCAUGCCGCGUGUAUGAAGAAGGCCUUCGGGUUGUAAAGUACUUUCAGCGGGGAGGAAAGGAGUAAAGUUAAUACCUUUGCUCAUUGACGUUACCCGCAGAAGAAGCACCGGCUAACUCCGUGCCAGCAGCCGCGGUAAUACGGAGGGUGCAAGCGUUAAUCGGAAUUACUGGGCGUAAAGCGCACGCAGGCGGUUUGUUAAGUCAGAUGUGAAAUCCCCGGGCUCAACCUGAGAAGUGCAUCUGAUACUGGCAAGCGUGAGUCGCGUAGGGGGGGGUAGAAUUCCAGGUGGAGCGGUGAAAUGCGUAGAGAUCAGGGGGAAUACCGGUGGCGAAGGCGGCCCCAUGGACGAAGACUGACGCUCAGGUGAGAAAGCGUGGGGAGCAAACAGG
rnacentral:rRNA from 1 species